rnacentral:rRNA from 1 species
GGAAGUGCUGUCGCUCAACGGAUAAAAGGUACUCCGGGGAUAACAGGCUUAUCGAGCCCAAGAGUCCACAUCGACGGCUCGGUUUGGCACCUCGAUGUCGGCUCGUCGCAUCCUGGGGCUGGAGUAGGUCCCAAGGGUUGGGCUGUUCGCCCAUUAAAGCGGUACGCGAGCUGGGUUCAGAACGUCGUGAGACAGUUCGGUCCCUAUCUGCCAUGGGCGUUGGAGAAUUGAGAGGAGUCAUCCUUAGUACGAGAGGACCGGGAUGAACGGGCCGCUGGUGUACCUGUUGUCCUGCCAAGGGCAUGGCAGGUUAGCUACGCCCGGAUCGGAUAACCGCUGAAGGCAUCUAAGCGGGAAGCCGACCUCGAGAUGAAUUCUGCCAUUCCUAUAAGGAAGUAAGACCCCUGAUAGAUCAUCAGGUUGAUAGGCCGGCUGUGUACGUGCAGUGAUGCGCUCAGCAGACCGGUACUAAUGGGUCGAGGUCUUGACGUU